rnacentral:rRNA from 1 species
CCGCUGGCGGCGUGCUUACAGAAUGCGAGUCGGAGCGGGAACCGAGCACCAGAAGCCUUCGGGUGGAAGGAGCUCGGGGAGAGCGGCAAACGAGUGAGUAACACGUGGGCAACGUACCCUGNCAGACGGGGAUAACGGCUGGAAACGGCUGCUAAUACCCGAUGGUCCGGAGGAGUCGCAUGGCUUUUCCGGUAAAGCUCCGGCGCUGCAGGAGCGGCCCGCGGCGGAUUAGCUUGUUGGUGAGGUAACGGCUCACCAAGGCGACGAUCCGUAGCCGGUCUGAGAGGAUGGUCGGCCACACUGGGACUGAGACAUGGUCCAGACUCCUACGGGAGUUAGCAUCGAGGAAUCUUGCCCAAUGGGCGCAAGCCUGAGGCAGCGACGCCGCGUGAGGGAUGAAGGCCUGCGGGUCGUAAACCUCUGUCAGGAGGGACGAAACCGCCUUCGGGCGCUGACGGUACCUCCAAAGGAAGCCCCGGCUAAUUACGUGCCAGCAGCCGCGGUAAGACGUAAGGGGCUAGCGUUGUCCGGAGUUACUGGGCGUAAAGCGCACGUAGGCGGCUUGAUCAGCGGCGGGUGAAAGCCCACGGCUCAACUGUGGAACUGCUUGCCGAACUGUCAGGCUAGAGUGCGGGAGAGGGCAGUGGAAUUCCUGGUGUAGCGGUGAAAUGCGUCAAUAUCAGGAAGAACACCAGUGGCGAAGGCUGCUGCCUGGAACGCAACUGACGCUGAGGUGC